rnacentral:rRNA from 1 species
GAUGAACGCUGGCGGCGUGCCUAAUACAUGCAAGUCGAGCGAACGGACGAGAAGCUUGCUUCUCUGAUGUUAGCGGCGGACGGGUGAGUAACACGUGGAUAACCUACCUAUAAGACUGGGAUAACUUCGGGAAACCGGAGCUAAUACCGGAUAAUAUUUUGAACCGCAUGGUUCAAAAGUGAAAGACGGUCUUGCUGUCACUUAUAGAUGGAUCCGCGCUGCAUUAGCUAGUUGGUAAGGUAACGGCUUACCAAGGCAACGAUGCAUAGCCGACCUGAGAAGGUGAUCGGCCACACUGGAACUGAGACACGGUCCAGACUCCUACGGGAGGCAGCAGUAGGGAAUCUUCCGCAAUGGGCGAAAGCCUGACGGAGCAACGCCGCGUGAGUGAUGAAGGUUUUCGGAUCGUAAAACUCUGUUAUUAGGGAAGAACAUAUGUGUAAGUAACUGUGCACAUCUUGACGGUACCUAAUCAGAAAGCCACGGCUAACUACGUG